rnacentral:rRNA from 1 species
UAAGGAAUAUUGCUCAAUGGGAGAAAUCCUGAAGCAGCAACGCCGCGUGGAGGAUGAAGGGUCUAUGACUUGUAAACUCCUGUAAAGAAGGAAAAAAUUCCCAUUUGAUGGGAGAUGAUGGUACUUCUGGAGUAAGCCCCAGCUAACUACGUGCCAGCAGCCGCGGUAAUACGUAGGGGGCAAGCGUUGUCCGGAUUUACUGGGUGUAAAGGGUGCUCAGGCGGAUUUGUAAGUCAGAGGUGAAAUCUUACAGCUUAACUGUGAAACUGCCUUUGAAACUGCAAGCCUAGAGUAUGGAAGAGAGUGAUGGAAUAUCUGGUGUAGCAGUGAAAUGCGUAGAUAUCAGAUAGAACACCAAUGGCGAAGGCAGUCACUUGGUCCAUUACUGACGCUAAAGCACGAAAGCGUGGGUAGCAAACA